rnacentral:rRNA from 1 species
AUUGAACGCUGGCGGCAGGCCUAACACAUGCAAGUCGAACGAGUGGCGGACGGGGGAGUAAUGUCUGGGAAACUGCCUGAUGGAGGGGGAAAAGUAGUGGAAACGGUAGCUAAUAACGCAUACCAGCGGAUGUGGCGAGAUGGGAUUAGCUAGUAGGUGGGGUAAAGGCUCACCUAGGCGACGAUCCCUAGCUGGUCUGAGAGGAUGACCAGCCACACUGGAACUUAGACACGGUCCAGACUCCUACGUGAGGCAGCAGUGGGGAAUAUUGCACAAUGGUCGCAAGCCUGAUGCAGCCAUGCCGCGUGUAUGAAGAAGGCCUUCGGGUUGUAAAUUACUUUCAGCGGGGAGGCGUUACCCGCAGAAGAAGCACCGGCUAACUCCGUGCCAGCAGCCGCGGUAAUUC